rnacentral:rRNA from 1 species
AUUGAACGCUGGCGGCAUGCCUAACACAUGCAAGUCGAACGGCAGCACAGCAGUAGCAAUACUGUGGGUGGCGAGUGGCGGACGGGUGAGGAAUGCAUCGGAAUCUGCCCAGUCGUGGGGGAUAACGUAGGGAAACUUACGCUAAUACCGCAUACGACGGCGACGUGAAAGCGGGGGAUCGCAAGACCUCGCGCGAUUGGAUGAGCCGAUGCCGGAUUAGCUAGUUGGUGGGGUAAAGGCCUACCAAGGCGACGAUCCGUAGCUGGUCUGAGAGGACGAUCAGCCACACUGGGACUGAGACACGGCCCAGACUCCUACGGGAGGCAGCAGUGGGGAAUAUUGGACAAUGGGGGCAACCCUGAUCCAGCAAUGCCGUGUGUGUGAAGAAGGCCUUCGGGUUGUAAAGCACUUUUGUUUGGAACGAAAAGCGGAAGGUUAAUAACCGUCCGUGCUGACGGUACCAGACGAAUAAGCACCGGCUAACUUCGUGCCAGCCGCCGCCGUAAUAC